rnacentral:rRNA from 1 species
GCGAAGGGGGGACGGAGAAGGCUAUGUUGGCCGGGCGACGGUUGUCCCGGUUUAAGCGUGUAGGCUGGUUUUCCAGGCAAAUCCGGAAAAUCAAGGCUGAGGCGUGAUGACGAGGCACUACGGUGCUGAAGCAACAAAUGCCCUGCUUCCAGGAAAAGCCUCUAAGCAUCAGGUAACAUCAAAUCGUACCCCAAACCGACACAGGUGGUCAGGUAGAGAAUACCAAGGCGCUUGAGAGAACUCGGGUGAAGGAACUAGGCAAAAUGGUGCCGUAACUUCGGGAGAAGGCACGCUGAUAUGUAGGUGAGGUCCCUCGCGGAUGGAGCUGAAAUCAGUCGAAGAUACCAGCUGGCUGCAACUGUUUAUUAAAAACACAGCACUGUGCAAACACGAAAGUGGACGUAUACGGUGUGACGCCUGCCCGGUGCCGGAAGGUUAAUUGAUGGGGUUAGCGCAAGCGAAGCUCUUGAUCGAAGCCCCGGUAAACGGCGGCCGUAACAAUAACGGUCCUAAGGUAGCGAAAUUCCUUGUCGGGUAAGUUCCGACCCGCACGAAUGGCGUAAUGAGGGCCAGGCUGUCUCCACCCGAGACUCAGUGAAAUUGAACUCGCUGUGAAGGUGCAGUGUACCCGCGGCAAGACGGAAAGACCCCGUGAACCUUUACUAUAGCUUGACACUGAACAUUGAGCCUUGAUGUGUAGGAUAGGUGGGAGGCUUUGAAGUGUGGACGCCAGUCUGCAUGGAGCCGACCUUGAAAUACCACCCUUUAAUGUUUGAUGUUCUAACGUUGACCCGUAAUCCGGGUUGCGGACAGUGUCUGGUGGGUAGUUUGACUGGGGCGGUCUCCUCCUAAAGAGUAACGGAGGAGCACGAAGGUUGGCUAAUCCUGGUCGGACAUCAGGAGGUUAGUGCAAUGGCAUAAGCCAGCUUGACUGCGAGCGUGACGGCGCGAGCAGGUGCGAAAGCAGGUCAUAGUGAUCCGGUGGUUCUGAAUGGAAGGGCCAUCGCUCAACGGAUAAAAGGUACUCCGGGGAUAACAGGCUGAUACCGCCCAAGAGUUCAUAUCGACGGCGGUGUUUGGCACCUCGAUGUCGGCUCAUCACAUCCUGGGGCUGAAGUAGGUCCCAAGGGUAUGGCUGUUCGCCAUUUAAAGUGGUACGCGAGCUGGGUUUAGAACGUCGUGAGACAGUUCGGUCCCUAUCUGCCGUGGGCGCUGGAGGACUGAGGGGGGCUGCUCCUAGUACGAGAGGACCGGAGUGGACGCAUCACUGGUGUUCGGGUUGUCAUGCCAAUGGCACUGCCCGGUAGCUAAAUGCGGAAGAGAUAAGUGCUGAAAGCAUCUAAGCACGAAACUUGCCCCGAGAUGAGUUCUCCCUGACCCUUUAAGGGUCCUGAAGGAACGUUGAAGACGACGACGUUGAUAGGCCGGGUGUGUAAGCGCAGCGAUGCGUUGAGCUAACCGGUACUAAUGAACCGUGAGGCUUAACCG